GAUGAACGCUAGCUACAGGCUUAACACAUGCAAGUCGAGGGGCAGCAUUGGAGUAGCAAUACUUCAGAUGGCGACCGGCGCACGGGUGAGUAACACGUAUCCAACCUGCCGCUUACUCGGGGAUAGCCUUUCGAAAGAAAGAUUAAUACCCGAUGGUAUAAAGAGUUCGCAUGUUCUCUUUAUUAAAGAAUUUCGGUAAGCGAUGGGGAUGCGUUCCAUUAGAUUGUUGGCGGGGUAACGGCCCACCAAGUCUACGAUGGAUAGGGGUUCUGAGAGGAAGGUCCCCCACAUUGGGACUGAGACACGGUCCAAACUCCUACGGGAGGCAGCAGGGAGGAAUAUUGGUCAAUGGACGAGAGUCUGAACCAGCCAAGUAGCGUGAAGGAUGACUGCCCUAUGGGUUGUAAACUUCUUUUACAAGGGAAUAAAGUGAGGGACGUGUCCCUUUUUGUAUGUACCUUAUGAAUAAGGAUCGGCUAACUCCGUGCCAGCAGCCGCAGUAA
rnacentral:rRNA from 1 species